rnacentral:rRNA from 1 species
GGCGGCAAGCCUAACACAUGCAAGUCGUACGAAAUGGGUAACCAUUUAGUGGCGAACGGGUGAGUAACACGUAUCUAACCUACCAUUUAGUGGGGGAUAACUGUUGGAAACAGCAGCUAAUACCGCAUACCUUACUUAUAUCAGUUUAUAAGUAAGAAAGGAGCUUUUAAGCUUCGCUAAAUAAUGGGGAUGCGGCGCAUUAGCUAGUUGGUAAGGUAAAGGCUUACCAAGGCGAUGAUGCGUAGCCGGUCUGAGAGGACGAACGGCCACACUGGGACUGAGACACGGCCCAGACUUCUAUGGAAGGCAGCAGUGAGGAAUCUUUCACAAUGGGCGAAAGCCUGAUGGAGCAAUGCCGCGUGACUGAUGAAGGUCUUCGGAUUGUAAAGGCCUGUUGUAAGAGAAUAAUGAAUAAAAAAGGAAAUGUUUUUAUUUUUGACAGUAUCUUACCAGAAAGCCACGGCUAACUAUGUGCCAGCAGCCGCGGUAAUACAUAGGUGGCGAGCGUUAUCCGGAUUUAUUGGGCGUAAAGGGUGCGUAGACGGUUUUGCAAGUCCGAGGUUAAAUCUAGAAGCUCAACUUCUAGUCGCCUUGGAAACUACAAAGCUAGAGUAUAGGAGAGGUUAGUGGAAUUCCAUGUGUAGCGGUGGAAUGCGUAGAUAUAUGGAGGAACACCAGUGGCGAAGGCGGCUAACUGGCCUAUCACUGACGUUGAGGCACGAAAGCGUGGGGAGCAAAUAGGAUUAGAUACCCUAGUAGUCCACGCCGUAAACGAUGAGUACUAAGUGUUGCCAAUAAGGCAGUGCUGAAGCUAACGCAUUAAGUACUCCGCCUGAGUAGUAUGCUCGCAAGAGUGAAACUCAAAGGAAUUGACGGGGACCCGCACAAGCGGUGGAGCAUGUGGUUUAAUUCGAUGCAACGCGAAAAACCUUACCAGGCCUUGACAUACCUUGCAAAGCUAUAGCGAUAUAGUAGAGGUUAACAAGGACACAGGUGGUGCAUGGUUGUCGUCAGUUCGUGUCGUGAGAUGUUUGGUUAAGUCCAGUAACGAACGCAACCCCUGUCCUUAGUUGCCAUCAUUAAGUUGGGGACUCUAAGGAAACUGCUAGUGUAAGCUAGAGGAAGGUGGGGAUGACGUCAAAUCAUCAUGCCCCUUAUGGCUUGGGCUACACACGUGCUACAAUG